GUGCUCCGAUAUCCAUAUCCUACUUGGGUCAUUUCCGCCUUUCUUUGGCGCUCUUCCGAUCUGUAGUCCCGGAAUCUUUUCCGUCGCGAAGACCCCCUCAAUUUUCACGGUUCCAUCUCUAAUAACGCCUCAAACCCUCACCCAUCUUCUCUUCCCCCAGUCUAUCAUACCGGAAUCCAUGAGGAACCCUCCGUCCUCCCGAAUCUACGGUCAGGGUUAUUAGUGUUUCCGAACCCCGAUGGAGAAGCAGGCCUCCGGCCGGCACCCGCCAGCGGGGGCGCCGCCGCCGCUGCAGCUCUCCCCACAGGACUGGGAGACCCUCAUCGACGACUUCCAGUCCGGCGUCCAUGGCCGCUUCGCACGCUGGCUCUCCCUCCCCCUCCUCGAUCUCGCCCUCCACGCCCUCCUCCGCCGCGACUUCCCCUCCGCCCUCAAGCCCCACCUCCUCAUCUUCCUCGAGGACUCGUUCCCCCUCCUCCCCCUCCCGUCCCCCGCCGCGGCCCUCCCCCCACUCCUUGACGCCCUCCGCGCCCUCCUCCAAUCCCCAUCCCCCGACGCCGCCGCCGUCCGCGACCAGGCCAUCCUCUCCGCCACCGCCGUCGCCGUCGCCGCCCUCCCCUCUCCCCUCCCCCCCUCCGCCGCCUCCCACCUCGAGUCCCUCACCGAGGUCCUCCUCGCCGUCGCCAACCGCCCCAACCACGGCCCCGACCGCCUCUCCCGCGCCCUCGCCUGCGAGUCCCUCCGCGAGCUCGAGCGUGCCAAUCCCCUCCUCCUCUCCGACGUCGCCGGACACCUCUGGGUGCUCGCCCAGGCCGAGCGCACCCACGCCGCCCAGAGCUAUCUCCUCCUCCUCGCUGCCGUCGUCCGGAACAUCGCCCUUCACGGUCUCCUCUCCUCCCCCUCUUCCGUCCUUUCCACCUCCACCCCCCUCGUCCCCUUCUCCGCCCCCCAAUCCCUCUUCUCCCCUCCCGACCCCUAUCGCGAGCCCUCUGAUCUCAAUGUGAGGGAGAUCCGGCGGGUGAUGGCAUUCCUCUUGGAGCGGCCGCACGCCCUCACCCCGCCGGCGACCAUGGAGCUUGUGUCGAUGCUCACGAGCAUCGCCGGCGUGCUGGAGCAGAGCGUGCCGGUGGUGACGGCGCUCCUGAAGGUGCAGUUCUCUGGCCUGCUUUACUCCUAUGACCCUAUCCUCUGCCAUGUUGUUCUCAUGCUGUAUUCCCGCUUCUCAGAUGCUUUCACCGGGGAGGACGAGCGGGGCAUCACCCGCCGCCUUGCCCUCGUUGCCAGGGAGACCCACCAUCCCCUCAUCUUCCGUCUUCUUGCUCUCCAUUGGCUCCUUGGCUUGCCCCGGCUUGGCCAUGGGAGGGCCUCCCUUGCCCCCCUGGCACCCAACUUUUACCCGACCGUGUUUGAUCCCCUCGCGCUGAAAGCUAAGAAAUUGGAUGUCCUCUCAUGCAUUGCUGCCAGUCUUGAUGUUUCCAAAGGGGAGGGGAAGGGGGAGGAGGAGGAGAAGGAGGGUCGAAGGCCGGAAGUGGUGAAGCUCUUUGAGGAUGGAUUGGUUUGUGUCUCAGCGUUCAAAUGGCUACCACCAAGGAGCACCGAGACCUCGGUGGCCUUUCGCACUCUUCACACGUUCUUAAUUGGAGUCGCCCCACAUCCUAGCGGCAGCUCAGAGAAUUCUGAAAUAGGAGUUUUGAUGCAGUCUACCAUCUUCCACACGGUUCAGAGUAUGUUGGUGAGUUUGGCAUUGGAGCAUCAUGGAUUAGUUCCGGUGAUUGCUACUUUUGUCGACCGGUUGUUGGCAUGCAAGGCCCAUAGGCAAGUAGGUGAAUGGCUGCUUCAGACACUCGACGAGCAUUUGCUCCCAAAACUUGAAUCGGGCUACCGAUUAGCUUCAUACUUCCCAAUUUUUGAAAGGAUUGCUGAGAGUGAUAUGAUACCACCUCGUGGUUUGUUAGAAUUGCUUACCAGGCAUAUGGUUACUCUUUCGGAUAAACAUGGCCCUGAUACUUGGUUGAGAUCAUGGUCUCAGGGAAGCAAGGUAUUGGGCAUUUGCAGGACGAUGCUUAAGCAUCAUCACAGCUCCAGAGUGUUCCUUGCUCUGUCACACCUCCUGGCAUUCACUUGUCAGUUCUUUCCGGACUUGGAGGUUCGUGACAAUGCUAGGAUUUACUUGCGGAUGCUUCUCUGCAUUCCUGGGAAGAAGUUGAGGCACAUAAUGAAUCUCGGUGAACAGCCUUCAGGAGUCUCUCCUUCUCCUCACCCUGGCUCACUCUUUCAAGUUCCAUCACCCCGUCACUCACAAGAUCUCAAGAAAUCAGUUGGAGUGUCUUCUUAUAUUCAUCUUGAAAGAGUCAUUCCAUUGCUUGUUAAACAGUCGUGGUCACUAACACUACCUAAUUUGAGUAAUGGAGACACUAAAUCCAGUCACGUUGAAGGAAUUAAGGACACCAGCGCCACACCUUCUACAGAACUGGAGGGGGAGGGUGAAGUGAAUAUCGAGAGGAUCAUUUUGCCAAAGGAACCAUUGCGUGUGAUGGAUUCUAAGGUUGCAGAAAUAUUAGGAGUCCUGCGAAGGCAUUUUGCAUGCAUUCCGGACUACCGGCACAUGCCUGCGAUUAAGAUAAGGAUAGCCUGUAGACUGAGGUUUGAUUCUGAGCCAUUCACUCGUGUGUGGGGAGCUGCUUCAUUUGCUUUGGAUUCGGAAGAGGUAGAUGGAUUGCCUGCUCUAUAUGCAACUACAAUCACUUUUUCAUCAACAUCAAAAUAUGGUUCUAUUCCACCUUGCCGUGUACCGUUUCUUUUAGGUGAACCUUCAAGAACUGGAUUUGAUAUUGUGCCUGUGGACAAUAGUUGUGAGGAGGAAGAUUCAAGCUUUUGUGCCUCGGUAAUGAUAGAAUUGGAACCUCGAGAGCCAGUUCCUGGUCUUAUUGAUGUAGCCAUCAAAGCAAAUGCAGAAAAUGGGCAAAUUAUCUCUGGCUCACUUCAAAGUAUUACAGUUGGUAUUGAAGACAUGUUCCUCAAGGCUGGCAUACCACCUGAUAUUACAGAAGAUGGGGUUCCAGAAUACUGCAUGGAUCUGUUUCAUGCUUUGUGGGAGGCUUGUGGUAAUUCUGCUAACACAGGACGGGAGACCUUUCCUCUGAGUGGAGGUAAAGGGGCUGUGGCCAUUAAUGGGACACAAUCAGUUAAGCUUCUGGAAGUACUCGCAGAUUCUUUGAUUAGAGCUAUUGAAAGGUAUCUGGCUCCCUUUGUUGUAAGUGUCAUUGGCAGCCCCCUAGUGAAUGUCGUGAAGGGUAAUGAGGUUAUCAGAGAUGUUGUCUGGGGAGAGGAUUCUGAGAAUUUUGCUGGCAGUAACGUUGGUGCCCUGGUACCAUAUUCAGACAACGUACUUCUUGGGCUUCCAUAUGCUGAGGAAGAAAGUGAUGCAGAUAAUCCUCCACAAGUCAGUAAGAGGAACAUGGGUACUUUUCUUGUUUUAAUAUUCCUGCCUCCGCGGUUCCAUCUCCUUUUCCAGAUGGAAGUAAGUGAUGCUUCGACAUUAGUUCGAAUAAGAACUGACCACUGGCCAUGUCUUGCUUAUGUGGAUGAAUACUUGGAAGCUUUGUUUCUAACAUAGUACUCACAUUGAAGGCCAGAUUUACAUCUGCUGCAUGGCAGGACUUUGACGUUUCUGCUGAAGCAGAAUGCAUAGCCUCUACAAAGGCGGAGACUCGAAGAGGCUGAAACUUGCAACUAUUUGGCAUCACCUGAUAAUCACCUUUCCCUGGGGAGACCAGGGAUGCAGUCUCUCUAUGUGCACUGUUUUCAAAUAGAUUUUUGUUUUAUAUCAAACCAAGAGCUUGUGUGAUCUUGAGGAUUGAGGUGUCGCAAUUUGGUAUGGAUUCUUGUUAAGUGAUUAUUACGACUUCCCUUGAUUCAGAUGCACACUGCAGAGCCUCGCUUCCGAUCACCAUGCAAAGGACUAUCUGAAAUCCAAGAUUGUAUAAUAUGAAACUUAAAUCGAUAAAAGUGAUCGAUAACUACUGCAGUGUCUGGCUAAUGUGCUGGAGAGAUUGGUGGUGUGAUCCUCUUGAACCUCACGGACUUGUUCUAGGAUGCUGAUAACUUUGUUCGUCAUAGCUGAGAUCAUUCACACCUGCAAAGAUCUACUUUAUUUUCAUUUUCAAUAAAUAAAUAUUUUUUCCUUUGUGAAAAUUGUUCUUAUGGAUUUGAUCAUUAUGCCUCCUAUCCUUAAACGAAUGCUCAUUUAACUUUAUUGAUUACUCUACAUGUCAAAAAGCUGAUAUAGAAGUGAGGAGAGCAAUGUGGUUUGUAAUUAUAUAAAAACUAGAAUGUGAACAUCACUAGUAAAAUGCUGAGAUGUAUGACAGAAAACAUGGAUGGUUAAACAUGCCCCAUCCAAGAGAAUUCGCAUUACAUGUCCUUAUUAUAUCAAACAUGUUAAGAUAAACUCUCUACAAAUUAACACCAACUCUUUCAUGGUAAGCAAAUUGAUAUAUAAUAUGAAAAAUCCAAGAAAAACGGAUCUAGAGUCCAUCCAAACAUAGAAACUUUUUUGUAGAACCUUGAGCCUUUUCAAUACUGAUCGCAAUCAGCUCAAUUUUUUUGAUCAACUUUCCCUUUAAUUAAAGAUAGCCCUUGGACAACAAGGAUCAUAUGCAAC